rnacentral:ncRNA from 1 species
ACGGAAGCCCGGCGAAGCCAAGGUCGAUCCGGAAGAGAAGGUUCGAUCUCCCGACCCGGGCGCCCAGCACGGUACCCGGCACCCACGCGGAGUCAUAGCCGCGAUAAUGGCAGAAGUGUUGCGGGCCUGCGUAAUUGCGAAAAGCAGAAGAGCUUGGACGGCCCUUUGGGUGGGGCUGGAGUUCGAAGCGUCGCAAGAUCGCCGAGGCCACCCACGCAGCCCAGAAGUGCACGCAUGGUAACCGGGUUCCGUGCUAGCGGGCGGCGCACCGAAUACUUCGGAACGCCGCCCGCUCUGCAUG